rnacentral:misc_RNA from 1 species
AGCUGGGGCUUGGGCAGCAAUGAUAUCUUUAGGCUCCGAAGGAUACUUGGAAAACACCAAGGAGAUCAUGGAGGCAUCAAAAAGAAUUCAGAAAGGGAUACAAGACAUUCCAGAACUGUAUGUUAUUGGAAGGCCUGAUAUGAGUAUAAUUGCUUUUGGAUCUGAUGUUGUAGACAUAUUUGAAGUCAAUGAUGUUCUGUCGUCCAAAGGCUGGCAUUUAAAUGCAUUACAGAGACCUAACAGUGUUCAUAUUUGUGUGACGCUUCAACAUGUACCAGUAGUCCAGAUUUUUCUGAAGGAUCUUAGAGAUUCCGUGCAGACUGUGAAAGAAAAUCCGGGCCCAGUUAACGGAGGGUUUGCUCCAAUCUACGGUGCUGCAGGGAAGAUGCCAGAUAGAGUUAUGGUUCAAGAUUUACUGGUGGAAUUUAUGGACAGUUCAUGCUAGUGAUUUUUCAGCAUACUGUUUGCAUAGUUACUGCUGAAUAGAAAAAAUUGCAAGGGUUAAUUAAUAUUGGAUUUUCUGCAUUAUGGUGAAUACAAACAGAAUGUUAACAAUUGAACACUAUUGAUUCCUUUGUACUUGCUGAAUGCAUGCUAAAAU